rnacentral:rRNA from 1 species
UACGUAGGGGGCAAGCGUUGUCCGGAAUCAUUGGGCGUAAAGCGCGUGUAGGCGGCUUGGUAAGUCUGGUGUGAAACCUCGGGGCUCAACCCCGAGCCUGCACUGGAUACUGCCUCGCUUGAGUCCGGGAGGGGAGAGCGGAAUUCCUAGUGUAGCGGUGAAAUGCGCAGAUAUUAGGAAGAACACCGGUGGCGAAGGCGGCUCUCUGGGAACGGUACUGACGCUGAGACGCGAAAGCGUGGGGAGCAAACAGG